AGCACGACACUAACUUUGGCAGCCAGCAGCUGGCUGGAUGAUGGUGGCGCAAAUGGAUUUUUGCUGACAAUUUUGUUUACCCAGAUUUAUUUAAUUUACAUAGGUAUAUCUAUGUGCUGCAAAAAUUAUGUGAGCUAACAUAACAAAUUGAUUUGUAACGUAUUCCAACGAACCAGUGUACAAUGUUGGGGCAAAUCCUGCGAAACAGUGAAUGGAAGAGAAAGUGUUUGAAAUAGUAAAUAACGGGUCGAUAUGAAUAUGUCCGUCUCGGAUUUAUCUGUGGGAUGUCGUUUUGCUGAUUAUUUUGCGAUAUGUGGCCUCGACUUUGACUCUGGUCUGGAACCGGACAGAUUAUGUGGUGAUAAUUUGCACGUAUCUCCUCUAGAUCGUUCUUAUAAAGCAAAAAUUUUAGCUCAUUAUCCAGAUAAUAUCCAGAGUAAUCCAUUUGACGAACAUGCAGUAUGUAUGCUUUGUUUGCCAGCUGGACUGCAAUUUAGGACUCAGAAGCACUGCCUGGAACCCAGAUUUCAUAGUUUUGUUGUGACAAGAGAAAAUGCAUCUAGAUACUAUGGAUACAGUCUUGUGUUCUAUGAAGAAGUUCGAAACAGGAAUAUUUGUAGUGCAAUGCAUACAUUGCAGACAAUGUUCAUCACUGAACUGUCCAGUGGGCAAACUCCCCCUGGACAUAGGAAAGCAACGGGGAAGGAGAGUUCCCGCUCACUGCCGAGAUCUUUUAAGUUGGCUCCCCAUACUGGCACAGCACUCACAUACUAUGACAUAGCCAAAGAUAAACUCUAUGUAGCCAAAAGUAUAGCACUCAUAUGCCAGUACCCUUUUAUAAGGGUAGCGCAAUUGUUUUUAGAAAAUUUAUUUAGAUCAUUGCCAAGACAGCCAGGGCCAGGGUUGAGCCCUGAGUCCUAUGUCUACAACUUGCUGUACGAAGUGCCAGUGCCACUGCCGGGUCAAGCCCUGCGUCUCUAUGUCCCACCAGCGGAGCCACACCUUGAUCCUAUACCAGUUGUGAUAAGAAUGCCAAAUCCUCCAGAAGAGUUACCUUUGCUGGAUUACCCACUACGCAUAAUGUUUUCUACGCUGGGCGUAGAGUGUGUUGUUCAACUGUUCACAUGUGUCCUUCUAGAACACCAAGUGUUACUUCGAUCCAGUGACUACAACAAGCUAAUGCUGGUAGCAGAAUGCAUCACAGCGCUACUGCUGCCGUUCACAUGGGCGCACGUGUAUGUGCCGAUACUGCCGGCGCCACUGUAUCAUUUCCUCGACGCGCCGGUGCCUUUCGUCAUGGGUCUACACGCAGAGAGUGGGGCGAUGAAUCUGGGUUCAAAUGGCCCGCGGAGCAUCGCGCUGGGCACUGAAGCGGCGUUAUGUCUCGUCGACAUCGACAAGCCAGACAUACAGCUACCGGAGGAAAUGCCCAUAUUCCCGCAUCGGACGCCUCUGAUUGAAGAACUUAACCAUAUCUUGGAUAAGCACCAGAUCCAAAGACCCGAAACCGAGCCCACCAAACUUGGAGUGCCAAUAAAUGGAAGUUCUUAUAAGCACAUGAAUGAUAGUAUGAGCAGCAGUUGUACUUUGCCAUCAGGUGGUCUACGGCGCAAGCACUCGUUCCACGACGUGCUGGAGUGGGACGAGAGUCGUCCGCUGAACGCGUCUCCGCCCGGCUCGCCCACGCGCCGCGCGCCGCGCCGCCUCGACGCCCUGCAGCGCAUCGUCGACAUCGUCAAACGAACUGGCGUGAACAUCGACGAUGUAGACGCAGACACGGUGAUGCCGACGAUGAAGAAGAAGGUGCUGAAUGAUGAAGAGCAGUACGAGGACGACAUCAGGUUCAACCUGGCCAUACGCGAGACCUUCCUAAACCGCUUCGUGCACAUGUUCCUCAUGUACGAAAACUUCGUCAUCAUGCCUGAUCAGGACCGCGAAUCAUGGUUGUCGUCACGGGAAUCGAUGGUGAACUUCGACAAGGCGUCCUUCCUAUCCGACCAACCGCAGCGCCACCGGCCUUUCCUCUCGCGCUUCCUGGAAACGCAGAUGUUCGCAACACUCGUAGACAAUAGAAUCAUGGCCAACUGGGGCGAUUACGAUGCUAACCUUCAAGUCUUCGAGCACCGCAUCAAAGCCGUAAGACGGCGGCUGGGCGAGGGCGGGCUAGCGACGCGCGGGUACAGCGUGUGGGCGGGCGGCGCGGGCGGUGCGGGGGGCGCGGGCGGCGCGGCGGCGGGCGCCGAGCUGGAGGUGGGCGCGCCGGGGGAGCGGCUGCCGCACCGCGCCGCCUACUACCGCGCCUUCCCCGCGCGCCUCGACGCCGCCGCGCUGGCGCCGCCGCCGCCGCAGGACCGCAGAACGAAUAGUCUGAAGCGUAUAAAGAACGCGAAGUGGCAAGUCAAGGAUUGCCCCCCGGAACUGCUCCUGGGGGACAUCAGUCGGAGACUGUGCACUGACGUCACACCUGCCGCCAUUGCUCAGAACAACAGGACGUUCGUUGAAAAACUUCUUAAGGAAUGCAAAAGUAAAACAAAGCGGAUGCUUGUAGAGAAGAUGGGCACAGAAGAGACAGACCUGGGCUUAGGUACAGAAGUAUCUAUAACAGGCGUGGAAGAGAGUACUAUGAUCGCGUCUCUCUGCGACCUGUUAGAACGACUGUGGUCUCACGGACUGCAGCACAAGUUGGGGAAAUCGGCCUUGUGGAUGCACCUCACCAACUAUCAGGAGUUGGAGCAAUGCAGCAACUCAACGAAACCUAUUGAUCCUAAUUACCUCACGCCUGAUUUAUCGUCUGUUGGUGCGGAGGUUGAAGCGCAACAAAGCACAAGUACAGUCACCAGGUCCCGGGAUAGCUCUCGAGGAGGGUCCAGAGACAGUUCAAGAGAUAGACUCAGCAACUCUGGGACUUUAGAACGGAAAUCUUCGCAACCUCCCAACUGUCCGUUAAGACCGCUGCCUGAAAGCCUCACUUUUGAUAUGAGGAACGUUCAAGCAAUGACAGACAUUAAAACCGAAAUCGGCUACGCCCGUGCUUGGGUUCGGCUGUCGUUAGAAAAGAAGUUGUUAUCGAAACAUUUGCGGGAGCUGCUAGCAGACACGACGCUCCUACGGUCCCAGUAUAAGCGCACGGCUUUCCUACGUUGCGAGGAGGAGAGAGAACAGUUUUUAUAUCAUCUCCUGACACUCAAUGCUGUUGACUACUUCUGCUUUACCAACACGUAUCCCACCACUAAAUUGCCAUAUCGCGUUCUGAUCGUGCCAUCUCGCAAGGCCAGUCAAACGACUGCCAACUGCUGGAUCUCCAUAUCCGGAGCCAACGGAGAGUCUACGCCCAAAAUACCCAUACCACGGAAUACCAACGAAUUUGUCUUUCACCAUAAAAACCUAGGUGUUCUGUCAACUUUGAGGAUCGGCCAUGAUAACUCUGGACUGUCACCAAGGUGGCUGCUUGAUCAAGUCUACGUCCGCAAUGAGGUCACAGGCCACACAUACACAUUCCCGUGCAACCGCUGGCUGGGCUCGGGCGUGGACGACGGGUCCACGGAGCGGCUGCUGGUGGCGGCGCGCAUGCGCAGCGAGCGUACGCCGCGCACGCCCGCGCCGCACGCGCCUCCCGCGCCGCCCACGCCCACCACCACGCACCUCUCCACCUCCACCAUACAACACAUGAUCGGUCUAUUUAGGCGCUCCGGCAACCAAGAAUCGACCUAAUUCUAACCACUAGCAGACCAAAGAGAUAAAUGAUAUUAGUUCACCGACGCAUACCUUAUUGGCGACUGCGUGAAUGCGAUAGUUAAAUGGCACUACCAGUCGAAAAGAGACAAAGAUGCAAAUUCUCUCAGUGUGUUGCUGUGUGGGGAAAAUGGUCUUGUGAAAUGUUUAGAGCAAGCCUUCCUUUGCGGGUUCA
rnacentral:misc_RNA from 1 species